AUACGUAGGGGGCGAGCGUUGUCCGGAAUGAUUGGGCGUAAAGGGCGCGUAGGCGGCCCGGUAAGUCUGGAGUGAAAGUCCUGUUUUUAAGAUGGGAAUUGCUUGGGAUACUGUCGGGCUUGAGUGCAGGAAGGGUAAGGGGAAUUCCCAGUGUAGUGGUGAAAUGCGUAGAGAUUGGGAGGAACACCAGUGGCGAAGGCGACUUACUGGACUGUAACUGACGCUGAGGCGCGAAAGUGUGGGGAGCAAACAGGAUUAGAUACCCUGGUAGUCCACACUGUAAACGAUGAAUGCUAGGUGUAGGGGGUAUCGACCCCUUCUGUGCCGCAGUCAACACAAUAAGCAUUCCGCUUGGGGAGUACGGCCGCAAGGUUGAAACUCAAAGGAAUUGACGGGG
rnacentral:rRNA from 1 species